UACGUAGGCACCAAGCGUUGUCCGGAUUUAUUGGGCGUAAAGAGUUCGUAGGCGGUUCGGUAAGUCGGGUGUGAAAACUCUGGGCUCAACCCGGAGCCGCCACCCGAUACUGCUGUGACUCGAGUGCGGUAGGGGAGCGGGGAAUUCCUGGUGUAGCGGUGAAAUGCGCAGAUAUCAGGAGGAACACCAGUGGCGAAGGCGCCGCUCUGGGCCGUGACUGACGCUGAGGAGCGAAAGCGUGGGUAGCAAACAGG
rnacentral:rRNA from 1 species